rnacentral:snRNA from 1 species
GGAUGAAUAGGCAGGUAGCUCAUUUUUCCCUUACUGUUCCAUGUUUAUCCCUCUCUACACUGUGUGCUUGGUCAAAGAGAAGGAUCUUCCCAGUACAGAGAAGAACCAGUCUUCAGUCAAGGCUAUCUGAGCAGCUGCACUCAACUGCCAGAACCUCCACUCAAGUUGUCAAGGAAAGUUCACAUCAAUUAACUGAAUUCCAAUU